GGACCUGCCCAGUGAUGUAAUACAUUUAACGGCCGCAGUACCCUGACUGUGCAAAGGUAGCAUAAUCAUUUGCCCUAUAAUUAAGGGCUAGUAUGAAUGGUUUGACAAGAACAUGACUGUCUCUUGUGGGAUAAUUAAAAAUUAAAUUUUAGGUGAAGAUGCCUAAAUAUAACUAAAAGACGAGAAGACCCUGUUGAGCUUUAAAAACUCUAAGGAAAUCUAAAAGGUUUUUUUGGUUGGGGCGACCUAAGAACAUAUAAAGCUUCUUUUAUUAUUUGAGACAUUUAGUUAUGAUCCAAUAAAAUUGAUUAAUAAAAUAAGCUACCACAGGGAUAAC
rnacentral:rRNA from 1 species